GGCGCCGUGGCUUAGUUUUUUAAAGCGCCUGUCUGGUAAACAGGAGAUCCUGAGUACGAAUAUCGGCGGUGACCU
rnacentral:tRNA from 1 species